rnacentral:rRNA from 1 species
UACAGAGGGUGCAAGCGUUAAUCGGAAUUACUGGGCGUAAAGCGUGCGUAGACGGUUAUGUAAGUCAGAUGUGAAAGCCCCGGGCUCAACCUGGGAAUUGCAUUCGAGACUGAAUAGCUAGGGUACGGUAGAGGGAAGUGGAAUUUCCGGUGUAGCGGAUGAAAUGCGUAGAUAUCGGAAGGAACAUCAGUGGCGAAAGCGACUUCCUGGACCAGUACCGACGUUCAGGCACGAAAGCGUGGGGAGCAAACAGG